rnacentral:rRNA from 1 species
CCGGCGGUAUAGGAUGGACCCGCGUCUGAUUAGCUAGUUGGUAAGGUAAUGGCUUACCAAGGCGACGAUCAGUAGCCGACCUGAGAGGGUGAUCGGCCACAUUGGAACUGAGACACGGUCCAAACUCCUACGGGAGGCAGCAGUGGGGAAUAUUACACAAUGGGCGAAAGCCUGAUGCAGCAACGCCGCGUGAGCGAUGAAGGCCUUCGGGUCGUAAAGCUCUGUCCUCAAGGAAGAUAAUGACGGUACUGAGGA